GCCAAUACUGACAAAGACCUAUGGGGCAUUUUUCUAUUUCUGUCUUGAAGGAGAUUUGCACCAAUGAAUUUCUGUGGCAGCUGAGGUUUGCUAAGAUUUAGAUGACCCCUUUCCCUUAUCUAAUGAAUUCAGGCCUGGGAAACUUGCAAAGCUUUAGACUGACAAGGAACUAAGGGAGUCGAUAGAGAAUUGAAAGACAGCUGGCACAGGGCCUAACUACUGGAAUCCAGGGUGAAGUUCACAGCUGAACUGUUCCCCUGAGGGUGGAGUUGGAGCAGUGACCGAACUAGUAGAAGAAGCCCUUGGUUGAUCCACUUAAGGAAAGUACUAUCUUUGCCCAUGCUUUGACCAUACUAAGGACUUUAUCAGACUUUAUGAUUCAUCACCUUAAAGGAAGAAUCCUCAAAUAUAAGGCAUUAUGGCAAUUCAACAUGAGAAUGAGAAAGUAGAAUACAGUUGAUUAGUGCUAACUGCUUUGCCAGUUUGAUCUUGGUAGUUAAAGACAGGUACAUUUUUCUAUUGCUCUUGUUAGCUUUUGUAUCUGUCUCAAAGGAAAGCAUACUGUGAUUCACAAUCACAUUUCAUUAUUCCAACUUUUAAAUUUUAUUACAUUCAGAAUUGUUGAGUCUUGAGCUGUUUUUUUCCCCACCAGAAGAAUAUCUUUGACAGUCUAAAAGAUCUUUCCACUUUUUAAUUCUUAUGGUAGCUGAUUAUUUUUAAAUUUUCAGAUUGGAUGUGGGCUGACUUGUUAACUUUGUUAUGGUUUCAGCUGAUGUAUAUUUCUAUGUAUUGCUUUAGUUGCUGUGUUUCAAAUUUCAAAUUAUUAUUUGCAUGUUGUCAUUAGAGUUGGUCAUUUUUUUUAUGAGUGUGUAAUCUAUGUAGCCUAGUCAAAUUAAGUUUGGAAACGGUGAUCUGUCACUCAUGUUUCUCCACCCCCCAAAAAAAGUUUUGUCUGUCACUUUAAGCUCCUUAUUUCAAAUUAAUUUUGAUUGGAAAAUGCCAGUAUUUUAAUACCAAGGGAGCAAAUUUUUCUAUUGCUUAUUUGUAAGAUAAUUUUGUACUAUUACCUAUUCUUCCCAAUCCCCUCAAGCAGGAAGUUUCAGAAAGUGUGAAACAAGAUCAUUUGUUUAUGUUUUUAUCAAGGUUUUAAACAAAAUAUUUGAAGUCCUCCCAAAGAUCAUACACAAUGAGUCGGUGGGAUUUAUACCAGGAAUAUAGGACUGGUUCAAUAUUAGGAAAAGUGUCAGCAUAAUUGACCAUAUUAAUAAG